rnacentral:rRNA from 1 species
GAUGAACGCUGGCGGCGUGCCUAAUACAUGCAAGUCGAGCGAACGGACGAGAAACUUGCUUCUCUGAUGUUAGCGGCGGACGGGUGAGUAACACAUGGAUAACCUACCUAUAAGACUGGGAUAACUUCGGGAAACCGGAGCUAAUACCGGAUAAUAUUUUGAACCGCAUGGUUCAAAAGUGAAAGACGGUCUUGCUGUCACUUAUAGAUGGAUCCGCGCUACAUUAGCUAGUUGGUAAGGUAACGGCUUACCAAGGCAACGAUGCAUAGCCGACCUGAGAGGGUGAUCGGCCACACUGGAACUGAGACACGGUCCAGACUCCUACGGGAGGCAGCAGUAGGGAAUCUUCCGCAAUGGGCGAAAGCCUGACGGAGCAACGCCGCGUGAGUGAUGAAGGUCUUCGGAUCGUAAAACUCUGUUAUUAGGGAAGAACAUAUGUGUAAGUAACUGUGCACAUCUUGACGGUACCUAAUCAGAAAGCCACGGCUAACUACGUG